CCUACGGGUGGCAGCAGUGAGGAAUAUUGGUCAAUGGACGAGAGUCUGAACCAGCCAAGUAGCGUGAAGGAUGACUGCCCUAUGGGUUGUAAACUUCUUUUAUAUGGGAAUAAAAUGUUCCACGUGUGGGAUUUUGUAUGUACCAUAUGAAUAAGGAUCGGCUAACUCCGUGCCAGCAGCCGCGGUAAUACGGAGGAUCCGGGCGUUAUCCGGAUUUAUUGGGUUUAAAGGGAGCGUAGGUGGAUUGUUAAGUCAGUUGUGAAAGUUUGCGGCUCAACCGUAAAAUUGCAGUUGAAACUGGCAGUCUUGAGUACAGUAGAGGUGGGCGGAAUGCGUGGUGUAGCGGUGAAAUGCUUAGAUAUCACGAAGAACUCCGAUUGCGAAGGCAGUUCACUGGACUGCAACUGACACUGAGGCUCGAAAGUGUGGGUAUCAAACAGGAUUAGAUACCCUUGUAGUC
rnacentral:rRNA from 1 species